GAUGAAGAACGUAGCAAAAUGCGAUAAGUAAUGUGAAUUGCAGAAUUCAGUGAAUCAUCGAAUCUUUGAACGCACAUUGCGCCCCUUGGUAUUCCGAGGGGCAUGCCUGUUCGAGCGUCAUUAUAACCCCUCAAGCUCAGCUUGGUGUUGGGGCCUGCUGCACUGGCAGCCCUUAAAAUCAGUGGCGGCGCCAUCUGGCUCUAAGCGUAGUAAUUCUUCUCGCUAUGGAGUCCUGGUGGAUGCUUGCCAUCAACCCCCAAUUUUUCUAUGGUUGACCUCGGAUCAGGUAGGGAUACCCGCUGAACUUAAGCAUAUCAAUAAGCGGAGGA
rnacentral:misc_RNA from 1 species